rnacentral:rRNA from 1 species
AAACGACUCUCGGCAACGGAUAUCUCGGCUCUCGCAUCGAUGAAGAACGUAGCGAAAUGCGAUACUUGGUGUGAAUUGCAGAAUCCAGUGAACCAUCGAGUCUUUGAACGCAAGUUGCGCCCGAAGCCUUCGGGCCGAGGGCACGCCUGCCUGGGCGUCACGCA